GCCCGCUUAGCUUAGAGGUUAGAGCAAAUGCGAUGGUCAUCGGUUCGAUUCCGAUAGCCGGCU
rnacentral:tRNA from 1 species